rnacentral:lncRNA from 1 species
CAUUUUAUCCAAAACUCACAAGACUAGAUGAAUUUCAGAAUUCAGAUAUUUUUGGUAAUAAAGUAAAUUAUAUAAUAUAAAUGCUAUGCAUUAUAUAGUAAUCCUGAUGGGAUCUAGCAUAGGAUUCCAUGAUCAAAUAUAAAUAUUUCUACAGCUAAAUAAAUAUAUAACAAAUAAAGAUUUUUUGUAGCUGCCUAUCAGUUCAGGAUAGGUUUUUGUCACUAAUCCAUUAAAGUCAGCUCAGAUUUCCCCACCAAAUGAGGUUUUUUUUUUAAAUUUAAUUUAAAUUUUUUUUUCCCGCUGUACAGCAUGGGGAUCAAGUUACUCUUACAUGCAUACAUUUUUCCCCACCCUUUGUUCUGUUGCAAUAUGAGUAUCUAGACAUAGUUCUCAAUGCUACUCAGUAGGAUCUCCUUUUAAAUCUAUUCCAAGUUGUAUCUGAUAACCACAAGCUCCUGAUCCCUCCCACUCCCUCCCUCUCCCAUCUGGCAGCCACAAGUCUAUUCUCCAAGUCCAUGAUUUUAUUUUCUGUGGAGAUGUUCAUCUGUGCUGGUAUAUUAGAUUCCAGCUGUAAGUGAUAUCAUAUGGUAUUUGUCUUUGUUUUUCUGACUCAUUUCACUCAGCAUCAGAGUCUCUAGUUCCAUCCAUGUUGCUGCAAAUGGCAUUAUGUCGUUCUUUUUAUGGCUGAGUAGUAUUCCAUUGUGUAUAUAUACCACAUCUUCCUAAUCCAGUCAUCUGUUGAUGGACAUGUGGGUUGUUUCCAUGUCCUGGCUAUUGUGAAUAGUGCUGCAAUGCACAUGUGAGUGCAUGUGUCUCUUUUAAGUAGAGUUUUGUCCGGAUAGAUGCCCAAGAGUGGGAUUGCGGGUCAUAUGGAAGUUCUAUGUAUAGAUUUCUAAGGUAUCUCCAAACUGUUCUCCAUAGUGGCUGUACCAGUUUACAUUCCCACCAGCAGUGCAGGAGGGUUCCCUUUUCUCCACCCCCCUCCAGCACUUGCUAUUUGUGGACUUAUUAAUGAUGGCCAUUCUGACUGGUGUGAGGUGAUAUCUCAUGGUAGUUUUGAUUUGCAUUUCUCUUAUAAUCAGUGAUGUUGAGCAUUUUUUCAUGUGUUUGCUGGCCAUCUGUAUCUUUUCCUUGGAGAACAGUCUAUUCAGGUCUUUUGCCCACUUUUCCAUUGGGUGAUUGGCUUUUUUGCUGUUGAGUUGUGUAAGUUGCUUUUAUAUUCUAGCGAUUAAGCCCUUGUCCGUUGCAUCGUUUGAAACUAUUUUCUCCCAUUCUGUAAGUUGUCUUUUUGUUUUCUUUUGGGUUUCCUUUGCUGUGCAAAAGCUUUUCCAUUUGAUUAGGUCCCAUUAGUUUAUUUUUGCUUAUUUCUGUUGCUUUGGGAGACUGACUUGAGAAAAUAUUCAUGAGGUUGAUGUCAGAGAGUGUUUUGCCUAUAUUCUCUUCUAGGAGUUUGAUGGUGUCUUGUCUUAUAUUUAAGUCUUUCAGCCAUUUUGAGUUUAUUUUUGUGCAUGUUUUAAAAAAAUCCAGAUUCUUUGAGUAUGCAUAGAAUAUUUACAAACUCAGUCUGAGAGUUACUGAAAAGAAAUUCUUUCUUCCAUUAAGGCAUACCCAGUUGAAGAAGAAAUUCGAAGAAAAGAGCAAGAUUUUAUUUCCUUUAUUGUUUUCUAGUUCCUAUCUCUAUGCCUUACUGCACUUAGCAGCUGAAAGAUAUUUGUGUCCAAUAAUGUGGUUUGAUUUCUUUCCUUCCUCUCUCCCUCUUUCUGUCCCUCUCUCUCUUUUCCUUCCUUCCUUCCUUCCUUCCUUCCUUCCUUCCUUCCUUCCUUCCUUCCUUCCUUUCUUUUUUCUUUCCCCACACCAUAUGGAAGUUUAUGGGCUAGGGGUUAAAUCACAGCUGCAGCUGCUGCCUAUACCACAGCCACAGCAAUGAGGGAUCCAAGCCGCGUCUGCAACCUGCACCACAGCUCACGGCAACGCCGGAUCCUUAACCCACUGAGCGAGGCCAGGGGUCAAACCCUCAACUUCAGGGUUCCUGGUCGGAUUUGUUUCUUCUGUGCCACGACGAUGAGAACUCCAGAUAUCAUAAAUCUUUUAAACUUCAAAAACCAUCAGCUUUUUUUUCUUAACUAAUUAUAAUGGAAAUUUCUGGAUAUAUUCUAGAUAUAGUUCAUCUUUAAUUACUUUUUAAAAAAACAAUCUAGGCGCCUCCCAUUCAUACUUACUCAUAAUAUGCAGUAUUAUUUAUGUGUAUGCACUAAUAAAUACACUAUUAUUUAUGAACACUUACAAGAUUUGCUUUUAUCCAAAAAAUUUGUUAUUGGCACGUGGGGAUGUAUCAUAGGAUCAUACAGGAUGUUCAGAGAAAGCAUAAACUUUUUUCAACCUAGAGGUCUGAGAAAGGAGACUGUGACUUCAAUU